CAGCCGCCGCGGGAAUACGAAGGGUGCAAGCGUUACUCGGAAUUACUGGGCGUAAAGCGUGCGUAGGUGGUGGUUUAAGUCCGUUGUGAAAGCCCUGGGCUCAACCUGGGAAUUGCAGUGGAUACUGGGUCACUAGAGUGUGGUAGAGGUUAGUGGAAUUUCCGGUGUAGCAGUGAAAUGUGUAGAGAUCGGAAGGAACAUCUGUGGCGAAGGCGACUAUCUGGGCCAACACUGACACUGAGGCACGAAAGCGUGGGGAGCAAACAGGAUUAGAUACCCCCGUAGUCCCUGUCUCUUAUAC
rnacentral:rRNA from 1 species